GUCUAUGGCCAUGCCACCCUGAACAAGCCCAAUCCUGUCUGAUCUUGGAAGCUAAGCAGGGUCAGGCCUGGUUAGUACUUGGAUGGGAGACCACCUAGGAAGACCAGGUGCUAUAGGCG
rnacentral:rRNA from 1 species